AUUGAACGCUGGCGGCAGGCCUAACACAUGCAAGUCGAGCGGGGUUUUCGGACCUAGCGGCGGACGGGUGAGUAAUGCGUAGGAAGCUACCCGACAGAGGGGGAUACCAGUUGGAAACGACUGUUAAUACCGCAUAAUGUCUACGGACCAAAGUGUGGGACCUUCGGCCACAUGCUGUCGGAUGCGCCUACGUGGGAUUAGCUAGUUGGUGAGGUAAUGGCUCACCAAGGCGACGAUCCCUAGCUGGUUUGAGAGGAUGAUCAGCCACACUGGAACUGAGACACGGUCCAGAC
rnacentral:rRNA from 1 species